UACGGGGGGGGCAAGCGUUGUUCGGAAUUACUGGGCGUAAAGGGCUCGUAGGCGGCCAACUAAGGCGGACGUGAAAUCCCCAGGCUCAACCUGGGAACUGCGUCCGAUACUGGAUGGCUUGAAUCCGGGAGAGGGAUGCAGAAUUCCAGGUGUAGCGGUGAAAUGCGUAGAUAUCUGGAGGAAUACCGGUGGCGAAGGCGGCAUCCUGGACCGGCAUUGACGCUGAGGAGCGAAAGCCAGGGGAGCAAACGGG
rnacentral:rRNA from 1 species